rnacentral:rRNA from 1 species
GCAAGCGUUGUCCGGAAUUAUUGGGCGUAAAGAGCUCGUAGGCGGUCUGUUGCGUCCGCUGUGAAAACUCAGGGCUUAACCCCGAGCCUGCAGUGGAUACGGGCAGACUAGAGGUAGGUAGGGGAGAAUGGAAUUCCCGGUGUAGCGGUGAAAUGCGCAGAUAUCGGGAGGAACACCGGUGGCGAAGGCGGUUCUCUGGGCCUUACCUGACGCUGAGGAGCGAAAGCGUGGGGAGCGAACAGG